GGUUGUACUGACAGGUGUUAUGGGCGUCCACGGAGCAAUGACUAAGUGGUUAGCAGAGGAAUGGCGUAAAAGUAGUCUUGGGUGAGUGGUACGUGGGGUGUGAGAAAAUACAACCUUAAUAUACGUUGAAUGAAUACCUAUCCAGUUGAUUGAUGGUGGUUAUGAGAUAACAGAAAAUAUAUAUUGUUUUCUUCCCUCAGUCCUUGGCACGGAUAUCUGAAACCCAUGUAUAAUUUUAAGAGCACUAGGAUGAUCUCUUGUUUUAAUAUUUAUUUUUUGACCCCAUCUCUGACACAGUUCUCCUAAAAUCCUUGUGAAGUCCUAAGUGGUAAGAGCACUAGGAGAAUCUUUUUUUCAAAUAAGGUGACUCUGGCUGUGCUUCUGGAUGGCUCCCGGAUAGCUCAUUGGUCACUAGAAUGAUGAAACUCUGAUCAGAAGGUUGGAAUUUCAGCCCCAUCCCCUACCCUCCAGAGAGGGGAGAGAGGCUGGAAAUGGAAAUAAUAAUUGAUCAUGCCUACAUCAACAAACUUCCAUAAAAUCUCAGAGGUAUGGGGUUCAGAGAGCUUCCUAGCAUGUGAAUGUAUCCAUGUUUGGGGAAUGUGAUGCACCCCAGCUCCGUAGGGACAGAAGCUCCUGUGCUUGGGACCCUUCUACACCACACCCUAUGUCUUUCCUCAGCUGGCUGUUCAUUGUAUUCUUUCUCAUAUCCCUUAAUAAACGGAUAAAUAUAAGUAAAUGC